GUGCAAGACAGGAAAUGUUCCUUGGAAGGUCCCCUAUCCCUGAAUGCUGACUGGUGAGAAACAGAACUGUAAAUUGGCACAGAGACUCUCGGACCCUACAGCAUGGCUUUAUUUCUUAGAAGUUGAUGGUGUGAGAAAAACGAGAAAACGUUUGCCUAGCUCUGGAACUAUAAGUUCUAGGUUCUAACACUGUUUGGAUCAGAUGAUGAGCGCCAUCUGCAGGCAGGAUGCUGAAAAUUGGAGGAAGAUACCACUGUUCAGCAUUAUUAAAGAUCAGGAAAACAAAGCAAAACAGUAAAUGCUCUUAUGUGGGUGUGACCCUCUUUAUACUUUUCAGUUCUUUGGGAUUAAGUAACAAUAUGCAAAGUCUGUCUUUCUCCAAAGCAUUUCUGAUCUUGGCAGACCUUAAGAUAGGACUUCUCCUUCUGAUCAAGUCUGACAAACUAAUGCAACCUCGGGUAUAUAGG
rnacentral:lncRNA from 1 species